rnacentral:tRNA from 1 species
GGGGUUUUAAUUUAAUUUAAAAUAUACAAUUUGCAUUUGUAAAAUUUAAACUCUA